NNNNNNNNNNNNNNNNNNNNNNNNNNNNNNNNNNNNNNNNNNNNNNNNNNNNNNNNNNNNNNNNNNNNNNNNNNNNNNNNNNNNNNNNNNNNNNNNNNNNNNNNNNNNNNNNNNNNNNNNNNNNNNNCAUGUCUAGAGAUAAGUAUACACUCCUGCUUCAAGGACAAUCACUCCCACCAGAUGAAAGCUUCUUGAUCUUCAUGUUGAGCUCUGUGCCCUCAGUGCCAGGCACCAGACUUAGCACAGAGCUGGCACCAGAGAACAGUUGUUGACUGAAAACCCCUCCAACAAGUCUACUCUCCAGCUGCGGAGACUCAUUUCCUUGUUCCCAACUCCUUUGCUGGGCUCUUUCCCCCAUCCAGCAUUUUCUGUGAGGCUGGGAUUCUCCCACUUAGUCAGAGAUGAUGGGCAGGGGCCUCACAAGCAACUGAUACACCAGUGGCUACAAUCAUAAAGUUUGUAAGUGAUCUGCUUUAUAGAAAUUUAAAUAGAGGGUAUCCAGGGUUAGAUGUGGCAUAACAUCAUCUCAUCAGCCUCUGACAGACGUUUGCCCAGGAGAGAACAGGGUGGUGGGGAUCACUCAGCACCUUGGGCACCAUGGGAGUAUGGCCCAAGCUGGAACAGAACCAGGAGUGCAUGUGCGGGGUGGGCUGGGGUAAAGCAUCAAGGCUCAUGACUUCUGAGAAAAGUCUACAAACAGGUCACAUAGAGGCAGGAAGAUCCUUAGGCACGGAGUCAGGAGACCUGAGUCUGCCCAUGCCCAUGUGUGACUUGGAUAAAUCCCUUGCCAACCCUGGACUUCCAGCUCCCACCUGAAUGGUGAGGGGAGGGAGGAUGAGCUCUCUAAGGGCCUCCUGCUCUGCCAUCACGGAUUCCAAGACUAUGUCCUCCAUGAGGGCAGGUGAAUGAAUGAAUUUAGUGUGUGCCUACUUUGGCACAAGCAGGGUGACUGACUGGGGAGAGAUGUCCGUGGAGGCCCGGGAAUCAGCCCUCCCAAGGGGGACAGGUAGGUGUGGGUGGGUGGGAUCUGAGCCAUUUUCACAGGGGCUGCUCCUGGGGCUGUGCUGGGAGGGAACCCCAAGGCCCCAAACUCUGUCUCUAUUCCUGCAGGUUUGCUGUCACCAUUAUUCAAGUUUCACAGUGUCCCCACGGGCAGGUAAGUCUCUAUUGACCUUUUUUGGGGUUUUCAGUGCUAUCACCAUGGUCAAGUUGCUGUGUGAUCUUGAACAAGCCUCUGUCACUUCUGGGGCUCCACUUUUUCAUUUGCAUAAAUAGGUAGUUGUUGUCGUUCGUGAUGCUUCCAUUUGUAGAGCACCUCAUGUUCAUCAAGGUGUGCAUUCACAGACAGGUGUUUUCUCAUUUACUCCUCAGAAGUAAAGCUUCUGUUCCAUUGGCCUGUGUGUCUGUUUUUGUACCAGGGCCAUGCUGCUUUGGUCACUGUAGCCUUGUAGAUGGUUUAAGUCAGGUAGUGUGAUGCCAUCAGCUUCAUUCUUUUUGUGUAAGAUUGCUUUGGCUGUCUUCCACAUAGCUAGUCAAUCACAAGUUGUGCUAAUGUGUUCUGCCGUUUCUCAAACCUGUCUCUCCUCUCAAUUCUUACUACCACCCUGGUUUUCAGACCAUCAACAUCUCUCACCUAAGCUGUGCAAUAGCCUCCUAACUGAUCCCUGACACUUCAGUGUUGCCCCUCUGCCCUCACCACUGAAACACAGACUACCUAAAACAAAAUUAUCCUGAGGCUUCCCUUCUUAAAAUCCUUUUUUGACUCCUAUUUCCUAUUAAAUAAUGUCUAUACUUCUUCAUGUAAUGGACAGGCAUCUCCUGUUCCUCUCUGCUCUACCUUUGUUACUGUAGUAAUAGGUAAAUGUUUAUAAUUUCCCCUGAAGUCCCUCUGCUAUUCAGUGCUUCCAUGUAUUUGUUCAUUAUGAUCUUUUUCUCUGAAACUCCCUCACCACUUUUCCUCCUGGCUAAUUAUUUACUGUCCUUCAAGCUUAAGCUCAAGCAUCAUCUUUUUCAGAAAACCUACUUUGAAGUUCCAGAGUGGACCAAUGGCCCCUUUUAAUGCUCCCCAUAGUCAUCGUGUUGAUCUCUAUCUUUUCACUUUAAACAUGCUUUUAAACCUACUUCCUGCGUAUAAAGUUUGUUAUAAUUUUAAUAUUUGUAUUUUUCUGUGUCUUGUUCUUCUCUUUAUGGUUUCUGUUGACUCCUGCUUAUGGUAGUUUGACCCUUCAACUCUUUGUUAAAUUUUAUAAAUCGCUCAUAUUUGUCUAAACUUUAACUUUGGGUUUCCUGAGAGACCACAACUGAGAUGAUUUGCUUGGUUUCUGCUUGGCUCUGGAAGCAGGACCAAUCAGGAACCAUUCUAGUUAGAUUUAUUGGUUUGAGUUUUCUUGGACUAUGAGUAUGGUGUAAAUUCAAAUUCCAGCAUAAAAGUAAAGCUGGUUAGAAAUAUUAGGGAAGACUAUUAAAAUUAUUAAUGUUUUACAAUCCACCGCCUGCAGAGACUGAUUUGCUUAUUGGUUCACUUGUCAUAUCCUUCCAGCUUUGUCUUUUCCACUAAAUAUAUAGCCCAUUUUGGUGCCUGGAUUUAUGUGGAGGUCUCAGAUUCAGUUUCCUGCUUUGUCAGGUUCAAAUCCUGUUAGUCAGUUAACCAGAAAAAUUCUAGAUUCCCAGGAAUGUGUCAGAGCAUUUCAGUGUCCCCUAUUGACAUCUCAUUCCCAGCUUUUUAAAAAAGAAAGUAUUUUUAUUUUCCUAUUGAUUGCCCCAAUUCCUAUGUACUACCUCAGGCAGCCGCAAUAUUAACUAACAAAGCUCUAGGUUUUUGGUUUAGUGGGUACCACUUUUUCUGUUUAGAAUAAUUAAAAAAUGAUUUUCACAGGUUCCUUGGGGUACGCUUGCUCUAGCACACCUUGAAGGCCGCUGUUGCAAAGUACAUUUUAUCAUGUUGAAUCAGCGUUCUAUCACGUACCUGUAGAAAGACCUCAGUACAUGCUUUGCACUCUCC
rnacentral:lncRNA from 1 species